UUUCUUGUUUCCUGUUUCCGCAUCAUAUCGCGUGUGUUCGCGCUGUCCUCAGUUCGCGCCAAGCUGCGCUGGGGACAGGUAAGUGUACGGAGCUGUCUUCUGUUUAUGUAUUAAAAUAUUCAAAAUGUCCUAAAAAGUAUGUUUGCUAAACUCACAAGUUGUUAUAUAUUAUUGUUAAAAUGUU